GCGAACGAGUUUCUGCCCUAUCAGCUUUCAAUCGUAGUGUAGUGGACUACGAUGGCGAUAACGGGUACGGGGAAUUAGGGUUCGAUUCCGGAGAGGGAGCCUGAGAAACGGCUCCCACUUCCAAGGAAGGCAGCAGGCGCGUAAAUUAUCCAAUCCCGAUACGGGGAGAUAGUGACAAGAAAUAUUGAUGUAGGGCCUUUUAGGUCUUACGAUCGAAAUGAGAACAAUUUAAAAAACUUAGCGAAACAAUUGGAGGGCAAGUCCUGGUGCCAGCAGCCGCGGUAAUUCCAGCUCCAAUAGUGUAUAUUAAAGUUGUUGCGGUUAAAAAGCUCGUAGUUGGACUUCGGAACGGGUUCGUUUGGCCCCUUGGCUUAGGCUUUGGGAUCAGCGCUGGGCGGGCCCUUCUACAUGGGGACAUCACCCCUUCGGGGGCGUUCUCAAAUUUUACUUUGAAUUAAUUAGAGUGUUUCAAACAGGCAAAUUGCCUUGAAUAUUUUAGCAUGGGAUAAUGAAAGAUGACUUCGGUCAA
rnacentral:rRNA from 1 species